GUGCUCGCUUCAGCAGCGCAUAUGCUAAAAUUGGAACAAUACAGAGAUUAGCAUGGCCCCUGCGCAAGGAUGACAUGCAAAUUCGUGAAACAUUCCAUAUUUUU
rnacentral:snRNA from 1 species